rnacentral:lncRNA from 1 species
AUGCCGAGGACCCACUCCCCUGGCAGUGCCGCCUGCCGUGGACCUGCCCCACUGGCUACCAGUCCAGAGACAUUCCAGGGUCCAGGAGCCAGUGUUUGGACAUUCUGGGCAAGACAAGGCCAGCAGAGGCUGCCUCAGGACCCUCCAGCCUCCUCACCCACCUCACCAGCACCUUGCCCAUUUGAACUGGACUGCCCUCCCUCCUUCCCUGGCUUCCAAGGCCUGUGGCCUGAGAUUCAGAGCCACGGUCCUGUAGCCCCCUUGGCUGAGCCCUGGCAGAACAGCCCCUUUUCAUGUUUAGUUGCUUUUGUAGAGGAGGAGGGGCUGGGUCGGGGAUAUCUGUCAGCCGCAAGCCCUUAAAUAAAGCAGCCGAUGCAGACUCCUGCCUCUCUGUGAUUUCCUGGGUUCUGGGUCAGGCCCAGGGGCUCAGUGAGGGAGAGGGGGAGAUGGAGGCAUUCGGAGGUGGCCUGGCGGGCCGUUGGAGAUGGGGUUUGGUUGGUCCCCAAAUGUCCAUUUUGUCCACGCAACAGGCAUUCAGGGUGAAACCAGGGUAGUGCUGGCCCCAAGGAACAUGGGUGAACCCACAGAUGUCUGGCCAGGCAUUUACAGGCACAGACUGUAUGGGGCCACUGGAGCCUGGGGUGGGAUGGGCGGUUGGUUGGGGCAAUCAGAGAAGGCUUUCUGGGGGGCAGCCUAACGGAAGUAACAUUCCAGGCCCACUCUGUCCCUCCUGUGAGGCGGGUGCCCCGGGCUCACAGUGACAAAUUGGGCCAGAGAUGGGAAGUCAUUGGCCCGAGGUCCCAGAGCCAAAAGGAUGCAGAGCAGGGCCUUGAACCCAGGAGGCCUGGCUUCAUAGCCCAGGGUCUGCCUUCCUAUGAGUCCAGGGUCCAGGCUAAGGAACCUGCUCAUGGCUUCCUUGGGGAGGAAGUGAGAGCACUGUAGAAGAUGAAGGGUCCAUGAAAGGGACCUUUUUCCAGAGGUGAUGAGGGGUCACUGAAGGCUGGAGGUGGGGCCAGAUGCACGUGUGUGAUACAAUAAAUAGUGGCCUUUGUCCCUAGUUCCUGGCACAGAGUUCCUCAAACCCUUGCAGUUUCCUGAAUGAUGGUGUCUUUUGUCACUCAAAGGCACCUCUUUUGAUCACAACUGAGUUGAUGCUGGCCACCAAAAGACGGUGUGAUCACUGAGUGGGACCCUCAGUAACACCCACAACCUCUGAGGAAGAGAAAGGGGGGCUGCAGGUUAAGCUGUAUAAAAACUUCAACACGAUUUGAUGAGCUCGGGGAUGGUGAACCUGUGGAGCUGCUGGGAGAGGGGGACACCUGGGGAGGGCAUGGGAGCUCCACGCCCCGUCCCCACACUUUGGCCCGGGCACCUCUUCCAUCUGGCUGUCCUGAUUUAAAUUCUUUUCUAAUAAACCUGUAAUCUAAAAAAAUAC